CCAAUAGCGUAUAUUAAAGUUGUUGCAGUUAAAAAGCUCGUAGUUGAAUUUCGGGGUCAGCAGGUUGGUCGUGCCUACGGUAUGCACUGGCCUUGCUGAUCCCUCCCUCUUGAUGAGCCGUAAUGCCAUUAAUUUGGUGUUGCGGGGAAUCAGGACUGUUACUUUGAAAAAAUUAGAGUGUUUAAAGCAGGCAAGCGCUUGAAUACAUUAGCAUGGAAUAAUGAAAUAGGACGUUCGAUCCUAUUUUGUUGGUUUCUAGGAUUGACGUAAUGAUUAAUAGGGAUAGUUGGGGGCAUUAGUAUUCAAUUGUCAGAGGUGAAAUUCUUGGAUUUAUUGAAGACUAACUACUGCGAAAGCAUUUGCCAAGGAUGUUUCCAUUAAUCAAGAACGAAAGUUAGGGGAUCGAAGACGAUCAGAUACCGUCGUAGUCUUAACCAUAAACUAUGCCGACUAGGGAUCGGAUGAUGUUAAUUUUUUAAUGACUCAUUCGGCGCCUUACG
rnacentral:rRNA from 1 species